rnacentral:rRNA from 1 species
UACGGUGUGUCUACCACCCUGAACGCUCCUGAUCUCGUCUGAUCUCGGAAGCUAAGCCGGGACGGGCCUGGUUAGUACUUGGAUGGGAGAAUAAAUCUGAAAGUGCCUUUC